CUGACUGCUAUCGGAUUGAUACUAAGCCAUGCGAGUCAUUGUAGCAAUACAAGGCAGACGGCUCAGUAACGCGUAGUCAACCUACCCUAUGGACGGGAAUAACCUCGGGAAACUGAGUAUAAUGCCCGAUAGAACAUUAUGCCUGGAAUGGUUUAUGUUCCAAAUGAUUUAUCGCCGUAGGAUGGGACUGCGGCCUAUCAGUUUGUUGGUGAGGUAAUGGCCCACCAAGACUAUUACAGGUACGGGCUCUGAGAGGAGUAGCCCGGAGAUGGGUACUGAGACACGGACCCAGGCCCUAUGGGGCGCAGCAGGCGAGAAAACUUUGCAAUGUGCGAAAGCACGACAAGGUUAAUCCGAGUGGUUUCUGCUAAAGGAACCUUUUGUUAGUCCUAAAAACACUAACGAAUAAGGGGUGGGCAAGUUCUGGUGUCAGCCGCCGCGGUAAAACCAGCACCUCAAGUGGUCAGGAUGAUUAUUGGGCCUAAAGCAUCCGUAGCCUGCUCUGUAAGUUUUCGGUUAAAUCUGUAUGCUCAACAUACAGGCCGCCGGAAAUACUGCAGGGCUAGGGAGUGGGAGAGGUAGACGGUACUCGGGAGGAAGUGGUAAAAUGCUUUGAUCUUUCGAUGACCACCUGUGGCGAAGGCGGUCUACCAGAACACGUCCGACGGUGAGGGAUGAAAGCUGGGGGAGCAAACCGGAUUAGAUACCCGGGUAGUCCCAGCCGUAAACUAUGCAAACUCAGUGAUGCAUUGGCUUGUGGCCAAUGCAGUGUUGCAGGGAAGCCGUUAAGUUUGCCGCCUGGGAAGUACGUACGCAAGUAUGAACUUAAAGGAUUGGCGGGGAGCACCACAAGGG
rnacentral:rRNA from 1 species